rnacentral:rRNA from 1 species
GAAUCUUCCGCAAUGGGCGAAAGCCUGACGGAGCGACACCGCGUGCAGGAUGAAGGCCUUCGGGUUGUAAACUGCUGUCACGCAAUAGGAAUCCCACGGCGUGAACAUCGCCGUGGUUGACUAACGCGAGAGGAAGCACCGGCUAACUCCGUGCCAGCAGCCGCGGUAAGACGGAGGGUGCAAACGUUGUUCGGAAUUACUGGGCAUAAAGAGCACGUAGGCGGUUCGCUAAGUUGGGUGUGAAAGCCCCCGGCUCAACCGGGGAAUGGCUCCCGAUACUGGCGAACUAGAGAUCGGUAGGGGUGAGUGGAACUCCAGGUGGAGCGGUGAAAUGCGUAGAUAUCUGGAGGAACACCGGUGGCGAAAGCGGCUCACUGGACCGCAACUGACGCUGAGGUGCGAAAGCUAGGGUAGCGAACGGG